AAGCGGUGGAGCAUGUGGUUUAAUUCGAUGCAAAGUGAAGAACCUUACCAAGGCCUUCGGGAACGCGGACAUGGGUGAUGCAUGGCUUUAGUCAUCUCGUGCCGUAAGGUGUUGGGUUAAGUCACAACAAAGCAAUU
rnacentral:rRNA from 4 species